AGAGUUUGAUCAUGGCUCAGGAUGAACGCUGGCGGCGUGCCUAAUACAUGCAAGUCGAACGAGGUGCUUUUGUAGCAAUACGAGAGUAUCCUAGUGGCGAACGGGUGAGUAACGCGUUGGUGACCUACCCCAAAGUGUGGGAUAACAGUCCGAAAGGAUUGCUAAUACCGCAUGUGGUCUUCGGGUUUAGAAACUGAUGACUAAAGGAGCAAUUCGCUUUGGGAGGGACCUGCGUCCCAUCAGCUAGUUGGUGAGGUAAUGGCUCACCAAGGCUACGACGGGUAGGGGACCUGAGAGGGUGACCCCCCACAAUGGAACUGAAACACGGUCCAUACACCUACGGGUGGCAGCAGUAGGGAAUAUUGCACAAUGGGCGAAAGCCUGAUGCAGCAACGCCGCGUGUGCGAUGAGGGCCUUCGGGUCGUAAAGCACUUUUCUGGGAGAUGAGCAAGGACAGUAUCUCAGGAAUAAGUCUCGGCUAACUACGUG
rnacentral:rRNA from 1 species